ensembl:lncRNA
CCCUCCCCCCAUCCGCUUUCUUUUUUUAUUGUUGAGGAGUAUGAGUAGACUUGAUGGACCCCAGUCCCCUCCCUAGCAGCCUGAACACAGUUGUAUAUUCCUUGCCAGGUGGACUUAUUAACCGAGUGGUUGAUUAGCACCAGGAGGCCAAAACAAAGAGCAGCAUGUCAAAACAAUUAGCCCCACUGUUUACCUCUCAGCCUCCCACAUGACUGCUAAAUGCAUCUAAUCCAGGAGAGAGAGAGAGAGAGAGAGGACAUGGAGUCGGCUCAGACAGUUGCAGAAUAAAAUGACAGCUGGUCCAUAGGCCUCUGUGCUUGUGUUGGUGUGUGUGUGUGUGUGUGUGUGUGUGCGUUUCAGAGCUGUCAUGACCAGACAGCAGAUCUAGGCAGGAGAGCAGAUGGAUUGAGGCAAGGACUGCUCCCAUCAAUGCAUGCGCACAGACACACACAUACAGCGUUCUCUUCACACACCUCUGGUUGGAGGGGGGGUCAUAGUCCCAGGAGAGCAGAGGGGGGUGAACAGACAAAAUGGUAGCAGGCGAGACGGAUCAUUUACAUAAGGGUAGGACACGGAGACCCACUGAGGGACGCUGGGCUCAGCGGCCACGUUGGUGUCCCGUGGACUGGACUGUGUUACCACCUAGUGGCGAAAGACGCAGUCUACAACUCCUUUGGGUUCAUUUGUUGGACACAGAAGGGGAAGGAAGCUGCUUGGGAGGUGGACAUCAGGGCAUUAAAGAAGUUGAUGGCAAAGGCCGAAGAUAAAAAGGGAUGGUGUCACUAAUUAUCCACACAUAAUUCCCUUUUGUUGUAAAUUUUACAUUCCUGGUACGAUGAGCUUAUUCUUCUAAAUCAAUAGCAAAACCGAAUGGACAAUCUUUAUGCCCUGGUAUUAAAGUAAUGUGCAGAAUUUAAUUAUAUCCCAGAGAAAUAUUUGCACUCCGGAUUCAUUUCAUUCAACCCCUUUGUGUGUGUGUGUGUGUGUGUGUGUGUGUGUUCUUAAAUUUGCUGGAGUUACUCCAAGAGAGCAGGGAAUAACCUGUAGGCUGCCGUUUCCCCCCACCCUCAUAUAGCAACCUCUCCACAUCUGCCUACCGUUCAGUGGGACGUCACCUUCUCAGAACCCUUUGUUGUUUCAACAAAGAUGUAUUUAGUCUUCUCAUAGCCGUUGUUUUAAAGAAUCCCCGUGCAUCUCUUAUCUCUAGCCCUGAUUACUUCACUACUUAGUUUCCUUCAACUCUUGUAUAACUGGUUAGUUACCUCCUUUAGUUAAACCAAAAUUGGUAAUAGCUUGAGUUAUAAACUUUUUUUCACAACAGCUUUUAUUUAUUUUCACUAAACAGGUUAAGUGCCAAUUAUUGUCUGGUUUGUAAACCUGUUUUUGGAUCCCUAAUUGCGCCAAUAGAUAUGUGUGCUUUUGUGCGUUUGUAGUUUCACCCUGUUUGAUGACAUUUCAUCAGUUAACAAACCCAUGUAUUAACUUCUUUUCUUUAUUCAUUCAUUCUAAGGUUAAAAUAACAGAUUUGAUUCACUCAAAAAUUUGCCUUAAAUCCUCUACCCUUAAAGUUAAUUUAUUUUUCUUUUACUUUCAUAUUUAUCUCUCUCUCUCUCUCUCCUGUUCCCAGCCUAUAGGGGUGUGUUUGUUUUCAAUAUGACCUGUUUUCAGUUGAAAAGGGAUCCACCACCCCUGCUUAUCGUUCCUCUCUCCCCUCCACCCGAACAUCAUGCUGAACACCAUCUUAUGGAGGCAUCCUCCUUGCUCCACUCAUUUUGUCCCCCCGCAGACCCCGGGCCCCUGCAUCUCUAUUUUUCCCUUUGCAGAAUUUUACGGGAUUUACAGGAGGGAAAAAACAGGUUUUAAAUAUUUUAACAUCAUCAUAGCAUUUAGUUUCUCCAUUUCUUUUCUCUGCUCCGCAGCACUGUUGCUGCCGGUAUAAACAAAUGUGUUGGGAUUCGUGUUCAAAGACUCGGUCCGAUCUAGUGGGAGCUGGCCUGUAGCUGGAUGCUGAAGUUCUGCCUCAAAUCUUUGGUCAAUUGCAGACACAAGGUCUGGACUCGGGCUCUUUUGGACCAGGGCUGUGGUUUGUGAUGGGGACUGAGGAGGUGGAGGAGGAUGUGACGGGUGGAUGAGCGCUAGAGAGCGAGUUGUAGGAAAAACAGGCAGAGGAGGCUUCGUCUCCCGUGUAUCACUUCUUAAAAAUAAAAAUCCGUAGAAUUAAUCCCAUUAUUAAUCCCCGUUAUUCACUUUUACCGUCUCUUCCUACUCCCUCCUUGUGCACCUGCACCUCGUUCAACUAGGUCUUAUCUUCAGUUAAACAUUCUGGUUAAUAGAAACCCGGAUUCUAUUUUUAAGACUUACUGACACGGUUCUCAGAAACAACCAAUCUCUAUACUGCCCUAUAUCUGAAAUACACAUAUACUUGUUACUCCACAAAACUCGUUUUUAGGUAUUUUUCAGAUUACAAUGUUUCAUUCCUUUCCUGUUAAGUGAAAAAAUGCAUCAAUACUGAAAUUAAAAUUUGAAUUUUUCUGAUAAACUGAAGGAUAACGGUCUUACUUUAGUUCUUCAGAAAGUUGACUUUUGACUAAAAAUAUGAAACUCAUUAAAAGCUGACUUUUUAGAGAUUUGUAGUUCUCCAACGUGAAACUAAGCUACUAAGCUAUAAACAUCUUCAUUGUC